UAACCCAAAAGCGCAAAAAUGCUUCAAACUGAUCCAGAAUCCGGAUCCGGAAGUGAACCAAAUUUGGAGAGGACUGUCCCACACUGACUUCUCAUCUUGUGUAAAAUUUUCGUUUAUAUCGGUCUAUUAUUUUUAUGUAUACGCAUG